GUAGGGCGGGACACGUGGUAUCCUGUCUGAAUAUGGGGGGACCAUCCUCCAAGGCUAAAUACUCCUGACUGACCGAUAGUGAACCAGUACCGUGAGGGAAAGGCGAAAAGAACCCCGGCGAGGGGAGUGAAAAAGAACCUGAAACCGUGUACGUACAAGCAGUGGGAGCACCUUCGGGUGUGACUGCGUACCUUUUGUAUAAUGGGUCAGCGACUUAUAUUCUGUAGCAAGGUUAACCGUAUAGGGGAGCCGAAGGGAAACCGAGUCUUAACUGGGCGUUAAGUUGCAGGGUAUAGACCCGAAACCCGGUGAUCUAGCCAUGGGCAGGUUGAAGGUUGGGUAACACUAACUGGAGGACCGAACCGACUAAUGUUGAAAAAUUAGCGGAUGACCUGUGGCUGGGGGUGAAAGGCCAAUCAAACCGGGAGAUAGCUGGUUCUCCCCGAAAGCUAUUUAGGUAGCGCCUCGUGAACUCAUCUUCGGGGGUAGAGCACUGUUUCGGCUAGGGGGCCAUCCCGGCUUACCAACCCGAUGCAAACUACGAAUACCGAAGAAUGUUAUCACGGGAGACACACGGCGGGUGCUAACGUCCGUCGUGAAGAGGGAAACAACCCAGACCGCCAGCUAAGGUCCCAAAGUCAUGGUUAAGUGGGAAACGAUGUGGGAAGGCCCAGACAGCCAGGAUGUUGGCUUAGAAGCAGCCAUCAUUUAAAGAAAGCGUAAUAGCUCACUGGUCGAGUCGGCCUGCGCGGAAGAUGUAACGGGGCUAAACCAUGCACCGAAGCUGCGGCAGCGACACUCUGUGUUGUUGGGUAGGGGAGCGUUCUGUAAGCCGUUGAAGGUGGCCUGUGAGGGUUGCUGGAGGUAUCAGAAGUGCGAAUGCUGACAUAAGUAACGAUAAAGCGGGUGAAAAGCCCGCUCGCCGGAAGACCAAGGGUUCCUGUCCAACGUUAAUCGGGGCAGGGUGAGUCGACCCCUAAGGCGAGGCCGAAAGGCGUAGUCGAUGGGAAACAGGUUAAUAUUCCUGUACUUGGUGUUACUGCGAAGGGGGGACGGAGAAGGCUAUGUUAGCCGGGCGACGGUUGUCCCGGUUUAAGCAUGUAGGCGGAGGUUCCAGGUAAAUCCGGUACCUUUUAACGCUGAGGUGUGAUGACGAGGCACUACGGUGCUGAAGUAACAAAUGCCCUGCUUCCAGGAAAAGCCUCUAAGCAUCAGGUAACACGAAAUCGUACCCCAAACCGACACAGGUGGUCAGGUAGAGAAUACCAAGGCGCUUGAG
rnacentral:rRNA from 1 species